rnacentral:rRNA from 1 species
AAAUGACUCUCGGCAACGGAUAUCUCGGCUCUCGCAUCGAUGAAGAACGUAGCGAAAUGCGAUACUUGGUGUGAAUUGCAGAAUCCCGUGAACCAUCGAGUCUUUGAACGCAAGUUGCGCCCGAAGCCAUUAGGUUGAGGGCACGUCCGCCUGGGUGU